GAUGAACGCUAGCUACAGGCCUAACACAUGCAAGUCGAGGGGAAACGGCAGCUUAGCUUGCUAAGCUGGACGUCGACCGGCGCACGGGUGAGUAACGCGUAUCCAACCUGCCCCACGGUGAGGGAUAACCCGCGGAAACGCGGCCUAAUACCUCAUGGCCUCCGAGCUUGACAUCAAUCUUGGAGUAAAGAUUCAUUGCCGUGGGAUGGGGAUGCGUCUGAUUAGCUUGUUGGCGGGGCAACGGCCCACCAAGGCAACGAUCAGUAGGGGUUCUGAGAGGAAGGUCCCCCACAUUGGAACUGAGACACGGUCCAAACUCCUACGGGAGGCAGCAGUGAGGAAUAUUGGUCAAUGGGCGGAAGCCUGAACCAGCCAAGUAGCUGCAGGACGACGGCCCUAUGGGGUUGUAAACUGCUUUCAGUCGGGAAUAAUUCGUCGGUCGUGACCGACGUUGCAGGUACCGUCAUAAGAAGGACCGGCUAAUUCCGUG
rnacentral:rRNA from 1 species